ACUCAAAGGAAUUGACGGGGGCUCACACAAGCGGUGGAGCAUGUUGCUUAAUUCGAAGCAACGCGAAGAACCUUACCUGGGUUUGACAUGCACGGAUUAGUUCCUGGAAACAGGAAUGAGGCCCGCAAGGGUACAACGUGCACAGGUGCUGCAUGGCUGUCGUCAGCUCGUGCUGUGAAGUGUUUGGUUAAGUCCAUUAACGAGCGCAACCCCUGUCGCUAGUUGCUAACGAGUAAUGUCGAGGACUCUAGCGAGACUGCCGCUGUAAAGCGGAGGAAGGUGGGGAUGACGUCAAGUCCUCAUGGCCCUUACAUCCAGGGUUGCAAACGUGCUACAAUGGCGCGUACAAAGCGACGCGAGGCCGCAAGGCGGAGCAAAUCGCAAAAAACGCGCCCCAGUUCGGAUUGAAGGCUGCAACCCGCCUUCAUGAAGUUGGAAUCGCUAGUAAUCGGAGAUCAGCUACGCUCCGGUGAAUAAGUUCCUGAGCCUUGUACACACCGCCCGU
rnacentral:rRNA from 1 species